rnacentral:rRNA from 1 species
GACGAACGCUGGCGGCGUGCUUAACACAUGCAAGUCGAACGGAAAGGCCCUGCUUUUGUGGGGUGCUCGAGUGGCGAACGGGUGAGUAACACGUGAGUAACCUGCCCUUGACUUUGGGAUAACUUCAGGAAACUGGGGCUAAUACCGGAUAGGAGCUCCUGCUGCAUGGUGGGGGUUGGAAAGUUUCGGCGGUUGGGGAUGGACUCGCGGCUUAUUAGCUGGUUGGUGGGGUAGUGGCCUACCAAGGCUUUGACGGGUAGCCGGCCUGAGAGGGUGACCGGCCACAUUGGGACUGAGAUACGGCCCAGACUCCUACGGGAGGCAGCAGUGGGGAAUAUUGCACAAUGGGCGGAAGCCUGAUGCAGCAACGCCGCGUGCGGGAUGACGGCCUUCGGGUUGUAAACCGCUUUCGCCUGUGACGAAGCGUGAGUGACGGUAAUGGGUAAAGAAGCACCGGCUAACUACGUG